CCUACGGGUGGCAGCAGUGAGGAAUAUUGGUCAAUGGGCGAGAGCCUGAACCAGCCAAGUCGCGUGAGGGAGUACUGCCCUAUGGGUUGUAAACCUCUUUUGCCGGGGAGCAAAAGCCGGACCUGUCUGGCUGUGUGAGUUCCCGAAGAAAAAGCAUCGGCUAACGCCGUGCCAGCAGCCGCGGUAAUACGGAGGAUGCGAGCGGUAUCCGGAUUUUUUGGGUUUAAAGGGUGCGCAGGCGGAUUUUUAAGUCAGCGGUCAAAUCGUGGGGCUCAACCCCAUCCAGCCGUUGAAACUGGGGAUCUAGAGUGUGCGAGAGGUAUGCGGAAUGCGUGGUGUAGCGGUGAAAUGCAUAGAUAUCACGCAGAACCCCGAUUGCGAAGGCAGCAUGCCGGUGCACAACUGACGCUCAGGCACGAAAGCGUGGGUAUCGAACAGGAUUAGAUACCCCAGUAGUC
rnacentral:rRNA from 1 species